GUCCCCAAAGGUCAUAAUGUAUUUUCUUCAAUGGGUAAGAACAUUGAGAGUCACAUAAACAAAAUGAUACUGCAAAAUAUGGCUGUUCAAGUGGCCCAGUCGGUGAUGCCAAGUGAGUUCAUCUACUAUUUUAUUCCUCUAAGAAAGAAUGCAGCAAAGUAUGGGACUUUAUUGGUGUAUAGUCCCUGAUAAUUAAUUUCCAACAUCAGCACCUAGUGUUUCCUGGAGUCCUUGAUAGAAAAACUAGAGGUAUCAAACUCAAAAUAGUAUGGAUAAUCUCUUAUUAAUUGAGAUACGGACAGUAGAUUUUUCUUCAUUUUGGGUACAAUCACAACAUUGCGAAGUGAAAAAUGGCAAGUAUCAUUAUCAAUUUGGUUGA